rnacentral:lncRNA from 1 species
UGGGGAGCCUGAGUGGGAGCAGGAGAGGAACCAUUACCCCAGAGAAUUCAGCCUGGAGCCAAAGCAAGUGGGAAAAGGUCACCUCAUCCACCAUGUCUUUAGGCAGAACUGAUUCAGCACACACCAACAUAGAAGACUUUUAUUAAAGUUCCCAGCAUGGCGUGCCCUCUCUCUGCCUCUUUGCAUCCUACCCAUCCUUCACCACCUCGCCACUCCAUAAAGCCCUCUCUGAUCACACCAGUCUGCAGCGAUCUCGCCCUGCUCUGAACACAUAAGCGCUCAUUAUCUGCACCACUCAUUUUGCAAUUAAUCGUGUACUGCCUUGUGACAUCGCUUCUAGUGCUUUGUCUGACUGUUAUCCAACUUCUCACCUGCUGACGGAUGGAACCCUUGAUGACAAUAUGAGUGACUGGACAGCAGGAGCUACAGCUCCUAC